rnacentral:snoRNA from 1 species
GCCGGUGAUGACCCUAUGACACGAAAGGCAUUCCUCAGACUUAAUACCCAUGUGGAAUCUGUCCUACUACAAGUUUCAGCCUUGUCUGACU